rnacentral:rRNA from 1 species
UGCUUGUCUCAAAGAUUAAGCCAUGCAUGUCUAUGCAUAAACCGAAUAUGGUAAAGCCGCGAAUGGCUCAUUACAACAGCCAUAGUUUAUUGGAUCUUAGAGUCCUACUUGGAUACCUGUGGUAAUUCUAGAGGUAAUACACGCAAACAAGCCCCAACCUUACGGGCGGGGCGCAUUUAUUAGAACAAAACCAAUUGGCUUCGGCCAUUAUUUGGUGAAUCUGAAUAACUACGCUGAUCGCACGGUCUCGCACCGGCGACGUAUCCUUCAAGUGUCUGCCUUAUCAACUUUCGAUGGUAGUUUAUAUGACUACCAUGGUUGUAACGGGUAACGGAGAAUAAGGGUUCGACUCCGGAGAGGGAGCCUGAGAAACGGCUACCACAUCCAAGGAAGGCAGCAGG